GCGUCUAUCACAACCAAAAAUCCACGUAUAAUUAUGAUUAGCAUCUGUGAGAGGUGCACUUAUUAUACUGAUGUGUGCACAGUACAGAACCGUAUGAAAUCUAUUUUGUAAUACAAGUGGAUCAGAUGUGUGUUAAAGAUGUGUGUGCAAUAUGUACUUCACUCGUGAUUACCAAUGUGAUGUUCUGCUAUGUAUCACAAGUGAGGAAGGAGCUGCUCUGCUACACAUCUGUGCAUGUGAGCAAAUGAGAGCUUGUGAUUUAAAUUGUUUAUUACUGUAGCUAUUAAGAAGCAGGCAUUAACGCUUGUUGACAGUGUGGAAAGGUGCAGACUCACAUGAAGGUAGAACAACUGGCCAGACAGCUAGAUGCCAGACAGCUAUAGACGUCAGUCAUCUAUAGAGUGGAAACGCGUGAGUCUAUAACUAUGUAUGCACUGAUGACCAAAAUUAUAAUUAUAUAUUUCUAGGCUUGAAAGUCAUCAUUAUUUGACAACAUUCAGACGAGGGGUUAAUUGAUGAUCCACUACUUCCCUGUUACUUUGUGAUUAUACAUUUAUUUCAAUUAUUAGAUGGCUGCUUUUAUUGUGACCCCUUAUGUGACUAACUAUGAAUGGCUCGCACUUUCAAAAGUGUUCAGAGUUGCAUAGUGUGUUUCAUUUUGGAAAGCAGACAAGUAUGUAAGGGGUUCUUAGACCUGGUAAGGAAUGCAACCCACACAUUAAAAAAAAUGGAAGUGCACCCGCUGCUCAACCUUGUGGAAGACCUUGCUGUCUCUUCGGUCCCACUGCUGCUUUCAAUUAACACUGAAAGGUGUGAAGCCUUUAAUUUAUAUUGAUGAGGGAGAAGAAAGUUUUUCAAAUAGACGAGCCCUAAGUGGUGAUAUUACUGCUUCGUUUUCAACAUUAGAAGCAUUGAGAUUUGUCUAUUCAAGUGGCUAUUACCAGAGUGAGAUUUUCAACAGUGUGUUGCUGGGUUGACUAAUCUCUACAACCAGCAUGGAAUGGCCUGGUGUCUCAUCACACAUCUUGGCAAGGCUAUAUCAGUCUGGAGCAGCACUGAGAAAGGCUCAACCAACAAGUUGAGAGAUAUUGCCAGAUAUUGCCUUAAUUGUCUUUCAAUGGCACCAAUCAGAAUGGUGUGAAGUCCAAGAGAAUACGAUAUACAUUCAUCAUAGUCUUGGAUGUUUUCAAUCGGCGAAUUACUUCUUGCUUGAAUGUUGUGUAUGCAGGACUCCUGUUGUUCAUUCUAAUUGCUUAAUUGACGGUAUAUAGUGGUCUGUGCCAUAAUGGAAGAAGAAUCUUCCCCCUUCCCCCUCACCAAAAUGAGAGGCUUUUGACCCUUCGGACUGAACACGUAAACACAUGUUCCUGACAUGUACAUAUGUUACACUGGACAAUUCGACCUGGGAGCUCGAGUUGGGUUUCACCAUAUACAAUGAGCAAGACUGUCCGUUGUUAACUUAACAUUACUACGCAGCCUUUUACAAUCAAACAAGAACGAGAGCAACUUAGCAUUAUCAUAGUAAUUUUUAUAAGUUGUCCUCUAGCUAUUUUAACCAUC